rnacentral:rRNA from 1 species
UACGGGGGGUGCGAGCGUUGUCCGGAAUUACUGGGCGUAAAGGGCGCGUAGGCGGCCCGAUCAGUCAGAUGUGAAAGCCCCGGGCUCAACCUGGGAACUGCAUUUGAUACUGUCGGGCUUGAGUUCCGGAGAGGAUGGUGGAAUUCCCAGUGUAGAGGUGAAAUUCGUAGAUAUUGGGAAGAACACCGGUGGCGAAGGCGGCCAUCUGGACGGACACUGACGCUGAGGCGCGAAAGCGUGGGGAGCAAACAGG